CUAACUGAAUGGGUACCAAUUAAGUCACCACUCACCAAUAAAACUCCUUCAGGAAUUCCUGUUAACUUUCUUCACCUCAUCUUAAUUCACCGCUCCAAGUGGAUUUCCAAUCAUUUUUGUCCCUUUCUACCCACUCACAGGUCAUAACGCUUCCGAGGUGUUUGUGAAUUGUCCCAGAGCUUCCUUCGCUGGGGAUCCCCUUGUGAAGUUAGCUGUGGGAUUCGCCAUUUAGCCCAAUGACACGACCAGCUAUUUGAAGACACUGAUUAGGAUUUGAAGUGAACUCUCAUUACCUGAACCAGUUGUAAAUCCAGAAAAAAGAAGAACAGGAGUACUUGUUAGUCUCUAAGGUGCCACAAGUACUCCUGUUCUUCUUUUUGCGGAUACAGACUAACACGGCUGCUACUCUGAAACUUGUAAAUCCAGGGCACCCCACAAUGAGGCUUCAGCCAUUCAGGGUUUUUUUAAUCUUCUCUUAAUCUCCAGAAAAGAGAGUCAUUGUCUUAGCAACUCAGGGUAUUUGCAUGAUAAGACAUUUCCUGGGUGACUUCCACUGCAGACGACAGCACUCCAGAGGCCGCAGCUAUACCCUGACAGCUCACACAACCAUAAUGCAGCAGACUCCAGGGGUGGACAGCCCAAAGGUCUCAGCAUAUAUCCGGCAAAGAGACAUCAAACUACAAAAGGCUACCCAGUACACCAAACACCUUUACUAAACAUUUACUUGACAAAGAGAUUAAAAUUGGAUAAACUCAGAUUGUAAAAACGUAAGAAUGGCCAUGCUGGGUCAGACCAAAGGUCCGUCUACCCAGUAUCCUGUUUUCCAACAGUGGCCAGUGCAGGUGUCCCAGAGGGAAUGAACAGAACAGAUAAUCAUCAAGUGAUCUAUCCCGUGUUGCUCAUUCCCAGCUUCUGGCAAACAGAAGCUAGGGACACCAUUCCUGCCCAUCCUGGCUAAUAGCCAUUGAUGGACCUAUCCUCCAUGGACUUAUCUAGUUCUUUUUUGAACCCUGUUAUUGUCUUGGCAUUCACAACAUCCAAUAGCAAGGAGUUGACUGUGUGCUGUGUGAAAAAAAUACUUCCUUUUAUUUGUUUUAAAUCUACUGCCUAUUAAUUUCAUUUGCUGGCCCCUAGUUCUUGUGUUAUGUGAAGGAGUAAAUAAGACUUCCUUAUUUACUUUUUCCACACCAGUCAUGAUUUUAUAGACCUCAAUCAUAUCUCCCCUUAGCUGUCUCUUUUCCAAGCUGAAAAGUCCCAGUCUUAUCAAUCUCUCCUCAUACAGCAGCCGUUCCAUACCCCUAAUCAUUUUUGGGAGAAUAAGCUUUCGUGGGUAAGAACCUCACUUCUUCAGAUCUUCUGAAGCUUAUGCUCCCAAUACUUCUGUUAGUCUUAAAGGUGCCACAGGACCCUCUGUUGCUUUUUACAGAUUCAGACUAACAAGGCUACCCCUCUGAUACUCAUCAUUUUUGUUGCCCUUUUCUGAAUCUUUUCCAAGUCCAAUAUAUCCUUUUUGAGAUGGGGUAACCACAUCUGCACAUUGUUUUCAAGAUGUGGGCGCACCAUGGAUUUAUAUAGAGGCAAUAUGAUAUUUUCCUGUCUUAUUAUCUAUCCCUUUCUUAAUGAUUCCCAACAUUCUGUUCGCUUUUCUGACUGCUGCUGCAGAUUGAGUGGAUGUUUUCAGAGAACUAUCCACAAUCACUCCAAGAUCUCUUUCUU
rnacentral:lncRNA from 1 species